rnacentral:ncRNA from 1 species
UAAAGGCUUGGUCCUGGCCUUUUUAUUGGUUUAUAGUAAACUUACACAUGCAAGUAUCCGCAAGCCAGUGAAAAUGCCCUCUAAACUUCACACUAGUUAAAAGGAGCAGGUAUCAAGCACACAAACAGCGUAGCUCAUGACACCUUGCUUUGCCACACCCCCACGGGUAAACAGCAGUGAUAGAAAUUAAGCAAUAAACGAAAGUUUGACUAAGUUAUACUAUACAAGAGUUGGUAAAUUUCGUGCCAGCCACCGCGGCCAUACGAUUAACCCAAAUCAAUAAACACCGGCGUAAAGCGUGCCAAAGAUUAUUUAAAACAAAUAAAGUUAAGAUCUGACUAAAACGUAAAACCACUAGUUAGCGUAAAAAUAAACAACGAAAGUGACUUUAGAUAUUUUAACUGCACGAUAGCUAAGACCCAAACUGGGAUUAGAUACCCCACUAUGCUUAGCCCUAAACAUAAACAAUUAAUAAACAAAAUUGUUCGCCAGAGUACUACUAGCCACAGCUUAAAACUCAAAGGACUUGGCGGUGCUUUACAUCCAUCUAGAGGAGCCUGUUCUAUAAUCGAUAAACCCCGAUAAACCUCACCAACCUUUGCUAAUUCAGCCUAUAUACCGCCAUCUUCAGCAAACCCUAAAAAGGUACCAAAGUAAGCAUAAACACAAACAUAAAAACGUUAGGUCAAGGUGUAGCCCAUAGGUUGGGAAGAAAUGGGCUACAUUUUCUUGCACAAGAACACCUAAACGAGAACUAUUAUGAAAUUUAGUAGUGUAAGGAGGAUUUAGUAGUAAAUUGAGAAUAGAGAGCUUAAUUGAACAAGGCCAUGAAGCACGCACACACCGCCCGUCACCCUCCUUAAGUGAGCACGUGUGUAUAAUCAUAAUAAGCAACACACAAAACAUAAAAGGAGACAAGUCGUAACAAGGUAAGCAUACUGGAAAGUGUGCUUG